GAUGAACGCUGGCGGCGUGCUUAACACAUGCAAGUCGAACGAAGCAUUAUAUUAGAAAUUUUCGGAUGGAAGAUAUAAUGACUGAGUGGCGGACGGGUGAGUAACGCGUGGAUAACCUGCCUCAUACAGGGGGAUAACACUCAGAAAUGGGUGCUAAUACCGCAUAAGCGCACAGGACCGCAUGGUCCGGUGUGAAAAACUCCGGUGGUAUGAGAUGGAUCCGCGUCUGAUUAGCUAGUUGGUAAGGUAAUGGCUUACCAAGGCGACGAUCAGUAGCCGGCCUGGGAGGGUGACCGGCCACAUUGGGACUGAGACACGGCCCAAACUCCGACGGGAGGCAGCAGUGGGGAAUAUUGCACAAUGGGGGAAACCCUGAUGCAGCGACGCCGCGUGAAGGAAGAAGGGUUUCGGCUCGUAAACUUCUAUCGACAGGGAAGAAAGAAAUGACGGUACCUGAAUAAGAAGCCCCGGCUAACUACGUGCAAGCCGCCGC
rnacentral:rRNA from 1 species